rnacentral:rRNA from 1 species
CGGUUCGGCCAUCCUACGGCGGAAACUCCUUAACUCGUUCCGAAUUAAGAAGAGAAGCGCCGUCAGGCCCCGCCAGUACUGCGAUCGGAGACGUCGUGGGAACACGGGGUGCCGAACUUU